UCUUGUGGCUUCCAUGCAGAAGUGCACGGAAACAGCUGUUUGCUAUUGCUAACUUGGCUGUUACUGUUCUUCUGGUGGGUGCUGCGGGA
rnacentral:pre_miRNA from 1 species